ACUCCUACGGGAGGCAGCAGUGGGGAAUAUUGCACAAUGGGCGAUAGCCUGAUGCAGCGACGCCGCGUGAGGGAUGACGGCCUUCGGGUUGUAAACCUCUUUCAGCAGGGAAGAAGUACCGCGAAAGUGACGGUACUUGCAGAAGAAGCGCCGGCUAACUACGUGCCAGCAGCCGCGGUAAU
rnacentral:rRNA from 1 species